ACACGCUCCAGACAGCAUAUUCCACUUCUGCACUGUUUAAUGUGUACUCAUUUGGGGUGGGAGGCACAUCUCCCAAGUGCCCUUUGGGCACAGCAGUUUGUAGCAGGGUGAAUAGCUGCAGAAUAUGCAGUCUUUUCUUUCUCUUAUUCCAUUCCAAGGCCCCUUAUUUCCUCCCAUUUCUCUUCCCUUUCUCCUUGCACACUGUAAUCAGCUUCUGUUGUCUAAACCCUCCUCUAAGCCAGUGACCAGCAUUUCAUACACAGGGGUGUUUCUGAGUCAGAAUAAGACCAUGAACCUGGGAAGCUUUGUAGCCAACAUGACUCUCACCAAAGCAGAAAACCUGCUAGAUUCAUUCAAGGUCCUACAGCCAGCCCUGGCCUGCGGGUGAUCAUCACAGUCACCUCGUCACCAUAGCUCAGGUACAGGAACCAUCACAACGGGGACUGCCAGCCUGGGAGGGCAUGCCAAAGUCGCUAUCCUUUGUCACAGG
rnacentral:lncRNA from 1 species